UAUGGGUGUUUUCUGGAAUGACCCAAUAUAACAGUGGUUUUUUUUUUCAAAUCUAAUCAAGCUGUCAAAUUGUCAAUCCUUGUACAUGGGGAGGGGAAAUUUCGGAGAAAGAAAAAUUGUGACCGAUCUGGUUGAGGGUCCAUCUGUAGGCCUGGCCAUAGACGUACAGGGCGGGGCCCGAUUGUUGGGCAGACUAGGCCAGUCGGGAAAUAUUUACUUCACAGUUGGGCAAUACUGGCUUAUUAUAAAAA